UUUUUUGUGGCGUUAUAUAUAAUGCAAUAGUAGUAGCAAUAGUAGUAGCACCAGUCAAAGCAGUAGCAACAGUAGCAAUAACAGUAUUAGCAAUCGUAGUAGUAACAGUGAUAGUAGCAGUAGUAAAAAUAGUAACAGUAGUAGCAAUAGCAGUAGUAAUAGCAGUAACAAUAGCAGUAGCAACAGUAGUAAUAACGGUAUUAGAAGUAGUCGUAGUAACAGUGAAAGUAGUAAUAGUAGCAGCAGCAGUAACAGCAGCAGUAGAAGUAUUAGCAGCAGCAGUAGUAGUAGUGGUAGUAGUAGUAGUAGUAGAAAUAAAAGU
rnacentral:lncRNA from 1 species